CCUACGGGUGGCUGCAGUGGGGAAUAUUGGACAAUGGGCGAAAGCCUGAUCCAGCCAUGCCGCGUGUGUGAAGAAGGCCUUCGGGUUGUAAAGCACUUUCAGUGGGGAAGAAAGCCUUGGGGCUAAUACCCUCGAGGAAGGACAUCACCCACAGAAGAAGCACCGGCUAACUCCGUGCCAGCAGCCGCGGUAAUACGGAGGGUGCGAGCGUUAAUCGGAAUUACUGGGCGUAAAGCGCGCGUAGGGGGUCUGAUAAGCCGGUUGUGAAAGCCCCGGGCUCAACCUGGGAACGGCAUCCGGAACUGUCAGGCUAGAGUGCAGGAGAGGAAGGUAGAAUUCCCGGUGUAGCGGUGAAAUGCGUAGAGAUCGGGAGGAAUACCAGUGGCGAAGGCGGCCUUCUGGACUGACACUGACGCUGAGGUGCGAAAGCGUGGGUAGCAAACAGGAUUAGAUACCCUGGUAGUC
rnacentral:rRNA from 1 species